AUCUGCAAUUCCUAUCUGAUUGGAUUUAAGAGAGAUCAUGUAGGGGGUUGUUCUUGGUUUGUGUUCAAGAGAUUAAAGAAGAAAAAGAGAUGAAAGAAGAGGUUACAAAAGGCAAGGACGAAAGAAAUAACAAAAGGAUAGUCAGUAUUUUGUUGUUAGCUUCACAAUGAGGGGAAAAAACAAAGUCAACAGCCAUAAUAUAGUUUAUGCUUAAAAAUGAUAAUCAAACCUAACAAGAUAUCAAGUAUCAACCUUGUUUCCCCAAAACCAUUUCCUUACUUUUCUUUUUAAGAUAACUCUCCAUUUUUUUUUGCUACUUUAUUUAUGUUAUGUUCUUGAUUUUGUAUUUGAUCCUGAUCAUGGAUGUGGUUGUAUCAUUGUCCUCUGACAGAUAUAAAUGGUAGAAGAAGAUCUGCUUUUGCUCAGUGUAGAGUGUAGACACAAUCUUUUAUUCAAGUACUAAUAUCUGUUUCAAUGAGAUUUUGAUGUUAAAUCUUUUUCUCUAACCAAAUUUGUUCGAUAGGUUAUUUAAUAAGUUAAUGGUUUCUGGACAUAAUGAGGAACGAUGAGAUAGAAAACAGCGGAUCGUACAAUGGACGAAAAUGAUUUUAGUUCAAUCCACCAAUAAAUUGCCCCUAACACCAAAAUCCUGGCUCCACUACUGCUAGGGGUCCACCAUAGACUUUGAAUCUUAUUACUGAUUUCUUGCCAAUUCCUACAAAAUACCAAUUACAAAAAACAAAACUUCUGAUAUAAUUGAAUUAGCUAUCUCAUAUCCCACUCCAUAAAAAGACAACAUAAUAUGAUGCCACCCUUUGCAAUUGUUCUCUCUUAUACUCAACCAGAUGGAUCCCAGAAUUAUUUGUUGUGAGUUGUGACCCA
rnacentral:lncRNA from 1 species